rnacentral:rRNA from 1 species
ACGGCGAGUGAAGCGGUAACAGCUCAAAUUUGAAAGCUAGCUCUUCUAGGGUUCGCAUUGUAAUUUGUAGAAGAUGCUUCGGGUGUGGCCCCGGUCUAAGUUCCUUGGAACAGGACGUCAUAGAGGGUGAGAAUCCCGUAUGUGACUGGGUGCCUUCGCUCAUGUGAAGCUCUUUCGACGAGUCGAGUUGUUUGGGAAUGCAGCUCAAAAUGGGUGGUAAAUUUCAUCUAAAGCUAAAUAUUGGCCAGAGACCGAUAGCGCACAAGUAGAGUGAUCGAAAGAUGAAAAGCACUUUGGAAAGAGAGUUAAACAGUACGUGAAAUUGUUGAAAGGGAAGCGCUUGCAACCAGACUUGCGCGCUGAUGAUCAUCCGGGCUUCUGCCCGGUGCACUCGUCUGCGCUCAGGCCAGCAUCGGUUUCGGUGGUGGGAUAAAGGCCUUGGGAAUGUAGCUCCUCUCGGGGAGUGUUAUAGCCCUCGGUGCAAUGCCGCCUACCGGGACCGAGGACCGCGCUUCGGCUAGGAUGCUGGCGUAAUGGUUGUAAGCGACCCGUCUUGAAACACGGACCAAGGAGUCUAACAUCUAUGCGAGUGUUUGGGUGUCAAACCCAUACGCGGAAUGAAAGUGAACGGAGGUGAGAACCCUUAAGGGUGCAUCAUCGACCGGUCCUGAUGUCUUCGGAUGGAUCUGAGUAAGAGCAUAGCUGUUGGGACCCGAAAGAUGGUGAACUAUGCGUGAAUAGGGUGAAGCCAGAGGAAACUCUGGUGGAGGCUCGCAGCGGUUCUGACGUGCAAAUCGAUCGUCAAAUUUGCGUAUAGGGGCGAAAGACUAAUCGAACCAUUGACUUGCUGGCUACUAGGUGGUUAAGAGGUGUACGCAAAGGUACACUUAGUCCUUCAGUGGGCAACACUGUCAAAUUGCGGGGACGUCCUGUUUUAAAUGCUGAGCUACCGCAGCCGCCUCGAAAGGGGCGGUGCGCACCAGGUUAAUGGCCUCGGGGAUGGUAAAAACGUUCAGAUAGGGAUGAUCCGCAGCCAAGUCCUACGGGGUCGCGAGACUCACGGAUGCAGUUCACAGACUAGACGACAGUGGGUUAGAUAUUCUAGCUUAAGA